UAUUCAACGCACAGCGUCCGUUCGAAUCUGUGUCCUCUAGUGUGGUGUGUGGAUUAUUGUUUACGUUAUAACACGCGCGUCGCGAGCCAGUCGCGUCUUGCGUUUACACGUUAAUGAUCCUUCCGCAGGUUCCCCUACGGAAACCUUGUUACGACUUUUACUUCCUCUAAAUGAUCAAGUUUGGUCAACUUCCCAGCAACGCCGACGGCCGUGAAGCCACCGCGUGUCGGUCCGAAGACCUCACUAAAUCAUUCAAUCGGUAGUAGCGACGGGCGGUGUGUACAAAGGGCAGGGACGUAAUCAACGCGAGCUUAUGACUCGCGCUUACUAGGAAUUCCUCGUUUAUGGGGGAUAAUUGCAAACCCCAAUCCCCAGCACGAAGGAGUUUCAGCGGGUUGCCCGGGCCUCUAGGCCAGGGAGAACAUG